rnacentral:rRNA from 1 species
CCUACGGGUGGCUGCAGUGAGGAAUAUUGGUCAAUGGGCGCGAGCCUGAACCAGCCAAGUAGCGUGAAGGAUGACUGCCCUACGGGUUGUAAACUUCUUUUAUAGAGGAAUAAAGUGAGGCCCGUGUGCCUUUUUGUAUGUAUUUUAUGAAUACGGAUCGGCUAACUCCGGGCCAGCAGCCGCGGUAAUACGGAGGAUCCGAGCGUUAUCCGGUUUUAUUGGGUUUAAAGGGAGAGUAGAUGGGUUGUUAAGUCAGGUGUGAAAGUUUGCGGCUCAACCGUAAAAUUGCAAUUGAUACUGGCAGCCUUGAGUACAGUUGAGGUAGGCGGAAUGCGUGGUGUAGCGGUGAAAUGCUUAGAUAUCACGAAGAACUCCGAUUGCGAAGGCAGCAUACUAGACCGCCACUGACACUGAGGCUCGAAAGCGUGGGUAUCAAACAGGAUUAGAUACCCUGGUAGUC